rnacentral:rRNA from 1 species
CGUGUAGGCGGUUGGCUAAGUCAGAUGUGAAAUCCCUUGGCUUAACUAAGGAACGGCAUUUGAAACUAGCUAACUAGAGUACAGGAGAGGAAAGUGGAAUUCCCAGUGUAGAGGUGAAAUUCAUAGAUAUUGGGAGGAACACCGGUAGCGAAGGCGGCUUUCUGGCCUGAUACUGACGCUGAGACGCGAAAGCGUGGGUAGCAAACAG